rnacentral:lncRNA from 1 species
GGCCUUCCCUGUGGGCAUGAACACAGCAUGGACAUGCAGGGUGGAGUCUGUUUCCAUAACUCUGGAGUGGCCCUGGCCUUUUGCCUUGCUUUGGUCAAGAGAAGACAGCAUUGGGGUCACUUAUGAGCCUAGACUUCAAGACACCUUGCGUGGUUCCUCUGGUUCUGCUGAGACCCUGGAAACCACGAUGAGAACAAGCCUGGCACUCCUUCUCUGAGUCUACAUCCUGGACCUGGGCUGUGGAGAGGAAACUCUUUGAGUCACACAGUCAGGAGCAACAUUCCCUGUGAAUUCGGGGUCAUGACAUGUGCACCGCAG